rnacentral:lncRNA from 14 species
UUAAACCAUGACACUGCUGAACCCAGGAUACUUCUUAAUUCAACUCUUAAUCAUUUAGAGUAUCUGUCUCAGGGAACUGAUAUUUUUGAGUACAUACCAGAAUUCCUCAUGGAAAAUGAGCGCAUGGUAGACAAGCAUGCAUUUUGAACACUCAUUCUCCUUCUAAUUUCUGAAUACAAACACCAGUUGGAAGGAUCUCUGCCUGCUAAGAAGCUCAUCCGUUCCACAGCUCAUCAUGACUCCACAGACUUCAUGAGAUACAUUGCCAUGGAUUGUAGUGGAGUUUUAGGCACUGACUCACAGCAAUAUGGUGGUAGAACCUCACUUGCAGCUUCACACAAGGAUUCCAUUAUGGCACGACCAUAAAAUUGUCAUACUUUAGCAAACCCUGAAUCUUGAAAAGUCAUGGAAACAUGCAGGGC